rnacentral:lncRNA from 1 species
AAACAAUCCUAGUCCUGGAUCAAGGAUGAGUGAGGGAGUGCUUGCUGGCACAGGACACUUUUCUUAAGCAAGAUUUAAGAUCCUGGAAGAGGAUCCACUGCUCCGACUCACAGAAGCUUAGGGAAAUGGCCAUCCGUAAGUGAAUGGCAGAAACAUUGAUAUGUCUGGAUUAUCUAGAAGCCGUGGGAGAUGAGCGCCAAGAGCGUUAGCCAAGUCUGAACACCAGGUGGAAGCACUGGACUGUGGAAAGUAGAGCUGGCCUAAUGACCCAGUCAGCAGACAGCUCAGGUACCAGGCCACUGUGUUCUAGCUGCAGAAACACAUGGUGUCUGAGCAGCAAUGUAAUUGAGCAUCCCAGUGGGAAAUCACACUUCCUGACCAUGUUCCCAGCGAGUGUGGCACCUGAACAUGAUUAGACGAGAUGUACAAGCUUCUAAGCACGUCCAUGGAGACUGGGCUACUUUACAUAGAUGAUAUGUGCUUUCCUGCUGCAGACCAGAAAUGAGGAUGAUGGAGGCCCC